CCUUGUGCCAGCAGCCGCGGUAAAACCAGCUCUUCAAGUGGUCGGGAUAAUUAUUGGGCUUAAAGUGUCCGUAGCCGGUUUAGUAAGUUCCUGGUAAAACCGGGCAGCUUAACUGUCCGUAUGCUAGGAAUACUGCUAUGCUAGAGGGCGGGAGAGGUCUGAGGUACUACAGGGGUAGGGGUGAAAUCUUAUAAUCCUUGUAGGACCACCAGUGGCGAAAGCGUCAGACUGGAACGCGCCUGACGGUGAGGGACGAAAGCCAGGGGAGCGAACCGGAUUAGAUACCCGGGUAGUCCUGGCCGUAAACGAUGCAUACUAGGCAAUGGUGCGGCCAUGAGCCGCAUCAGUACCGUAGGGAAACCGUUAAGUGUGCCGCCUGGGAAGUACGGUCGCAAGGCUAAAACUUAAAGGAAUUGGCGGGGGAGCACCACAAGGGGUGAAGCCUGCGGUUCAAUUGGACUCAACGCCGGGAAACUUACCAGGGGAGACAGCAGAAUGACAGUCAGGUUGACGACCUUACUCGACGAGCUGAGAGGAGGUGCAUGGCCGUCGCCAGUUCGUGCUGUGAGGUAUCCUGUUAAGUCAGGCAACGAACGAGAUCCGCGCCUUUAUUUGCCAUCAAGAAGUCACGACUUCGUUGGGAACACUAAAGGGACCGCCGUCGAUAAGACGGAGGAAGGAGCGGGCAAAGGCAGGGCUGU
rnacentral:rRNA from 1 species